rnacentral:rRNA from 1 species
GACGAACGCUGGCGGCGCGCUUAACACAUGCAAGUCGAGCGAAGCGGCGGACGGGUGAGUAACACGUGAGUAACCUGCCUUAGACAUUGGGAUAGCCUCGGGAAACCGGGAUUAAUACCAAAUGGUCUAAGAUGGACUCGCGUCCCAUUAGCUAGUUGGUGGGUAACGGCCCACCAAGGCGACGCUGGGUAGUCGGCCUGAGAGACUGGACGGACACUUUGGAACUGGGCAACGGUCCAAACUCUACGGGAUGAAGCAGUGGGGAAUAUUGCACAAUGGAGGGAACUCUGAUGCAGCGACGCCGCGUGAACGAAGAAGGCUUUCGAGUCGUAAAGUGCUUUUAUAUGGGAAGCGGUACCAUAAGAAAAAGCCCCGGCUAACUACGUGCCAGCAGCCGCGGUAAUAC